UAGGCUUGUGGUACUCCACCACCUUGGAUAUUGUCUAUCCUAUUUCUUCUCAGAUCACGGUGGAAAUUUGGGAAAUUUGUUCCCUAGAAGCAAUCUAUACUCUUUUGUGUUCAGGUUUCCAUCAGCGAUGAGUUAUGUUCAUAUAGUACUACCGUUGUACUUGGAAAUAUCUACACUUGCAGUACAGAUUGGUUAUAUUGAGAGGGAACUAAUUCCUUGCUCUAAAAUAUGUGCUUCUAGUUUCACACUGAUGACGAACUUUGGUACAUACCUGAUUAUACUCCCGUGGGUUUCCAGCAGGCUGGAGGGUGCUUCCACUUGUCUACUUUAAAUAUAUGCACAGGAGGAAGCAAGCCUUCAUGUUGAAGUGUCUCCCUGCCCAUGCCGCUCCAAUCCCUGUGCAUC